rnacentral:rRNA from 1 species
GCAUGAGUGUAAAGGCACAAGGAGGCUUGACUGCGAGGCUGACAGGCCGAGCAGGUACGAAAGUAGGUCUUAGUGAUCUGGCGGCAGCGAGUGGAAGCGCCGUCACUUAACGGAUAAAAGGUACUCCGGGGAUAACAGGCUAAUCUUCCCCAAGCGUCCACAGCGACGGGAAGGUUUGGCACCUCGAUGUCGGCUCAUCGCAUCCUGGGGCUGAAGCGGGUCCCAAGGGUUUGGCUGUUCGCCAAUUAAAGCGGUACGUGAGCUGGGUUCAGAACGUCGCGAGACAGUUCGGUCCCUAUCUGCCAUGGGCGUUGGAUGUUUGAGAGGAGCUGUUUUUAGUACGAGAGGACCGAAAUGGACGAACCGCUGGUGUACCAGUUGUCCCGCCAGGGGCACGUGCUGGGUAGCUACGUUCGGAAGGGAUAACCGCUGAAGGCAUCUAAGCGGGAAGCCCGCCUCAAGAUAAAACAUCCCUGGGGGUGUAACCCCCCUAAAGGUACCAGGAAGACUACCUGGUCGAUAGGUUGGAGGUCUAAGCAUGGUAACAUGUUCAGCCGACCAAUACUAAUCUACCGUGAGGCUUGACCAU